AGAACGAACGCUGGCGGCAGGCUUAACACAUGCAAGUCGAACGCGUGUAGCAAUACACGAGUGGCGCACGGGUGAGUAACGCGUGGAUAUCUGCCUUUUGGUUCGGAAUAACCCCGGGAAACUGGGGCUAAUACCGGAUGGUUCCUACGGGAUAAAGAUUUAUCGCCAAAAGAUGAGUCCGCGUACGAUUAGCUAGUUGGUGAGGUAAUGGCUCACCAAGGCGACGAUCGUUAGCUGGUCUGAGAGGACGAUCAGCCACACUGGGACUGAGACACGGCCCAGACUCCUACGGGAGGCAGCAGUGGGGAAUAUUGGACAAUGGGGGCAACCCUGAUCCAGCCAUGCCGCGUGAGUGAUGAAGGCCUUCGGGUGUAAAGCUCGUUUUGGCGGGGACGAUGAUGACGGUACCCGCAGAAUAACGCCCGGCUAACUUCGUGCCAGCAGCCGC
rnacentral:rRNA from 1 species